GACGAACGCUGGCGGCGUGCCUAAUACAUGCAAGUAGAACGCACAGUUUAUACCGUAGCUUGCUACACCAUACACUGUGAGUUGCGAACGGGUGAGUAACGCGUAGGUAACCUGCCUGGUAGCGGGGGAUAACUAUUGGAAACGAUAGCUAAUACCGCAUAAUAUUGAUUAUUGCAUGAUAAUUGAUUGAAAGAUGCUAUUGCAUCACUACCAGAUGGACCUGCGUUGUAUUAGCUAGUAGGUGAGGUAACGGCUCACCUAGGCGACGAUACAUAGCCGACCUGAGAGGGUGAUCGGCCACACUGGGACGUAGACACGGCCCAGACUCCUACGGGAGGCAGCAGUAGGGAAUCUUCGGCAAUGGACGAAAGUCUGACCGAGCAACGCCGCGUGAGAGAAGAAGGAUUUCGGAUCGUAAAGCUCUGUUGUAAGAGAAGAACGGGAGUGAGAGUGGAAAGUUCACACUGUGACGGUAUCUUACCAGAAAGGGACGGCUAACUACGUG
rnacentral:rRNA from 1 species